CUGUGCUAUCAGUGAAGGGAAGCUGAAAUCCUUAAGGAUGCUUUCCUGCCCUUGUGACAACAACCUUCUGAAGGCCUUUCUUGAGACAGAAAAUGAUAAAGAUUCUUUCUAGGACCAAAACUACUAGAGUUUCUUGUGGUGCAAAGUCUGCUGAGACAGAUAAACAGUGCUGAAGAAGCAGAGUAAGAGGAGAGUGAGCUUGAACAACAUGGGGUGCAUCUGGAGACCUCUGAGGCUACUGCUGGGAUCAAGGAAUUAAAGCUGGCAUGGCGUCAAAGAAGAUGGAAACACCUGCAGGCCUUCAGAAAGGAGAAAGAAGUGGGAGGUUUGGGAAUAAAGACAAAACGUGUCAGGCCUGCCACUGGAGAUGUGUAUUUGCCAGAGGGGGCAUCUUGUGUGGAGGAACCUCUGUUCAUUGUUACCAAGAACAGAAGACCUGAAGUCAUCCAGAACUCCCUAUGUUCACCACAGUCAAAACAAGCGGAAACAGCAGUGCUGAACUGUCAAAAUAUACUGUGGGAAAAGGCAAAGAAGACACCUUGAGGUAUUUUAUGUUCACUGAGUCCAGUGGAAAUGAUAGCAGUGAUGGGAAGAGGAAUAACGAGGAUUGUUAUGUACAGCUGAACAUCGCAGACAAAAGUGCAGAUGUUGCAAUUUUCUUCUUAAUAAUGAAGUGGGCAAAAAGCAAGGAGCUGAUAGACAGCAUAUGUAUAUUCUCUGAAUCUGCAGUACCCGCUCAAAUUUAAGGCAGAAGCAUUGAAGGAAAAACAUUGUGAAGAGACUGAGUAAAACCUGUCAUGUACUGGGGACUUUUUACAAAAGGACGGUGUUUACAUGAACAGUAAGGACCAGAUGGCACAACACUUCUGAAAAGAUUUUGCUCUCCGUUCUUUUUUGCUGGCUCUGGGUAUUUUUCAGCAGCUGCUGUGGAAGUGUUCUCUGUGUAAAUAAAGUUGUGGCAUUGACAAUGGGCAGUUUAAGACUGCAGGACAUUCCCAUGGCCUCUGUAGCUCUAGAUGGUAUUUUUUCCCUG